rnacentral:misc_RNA from 1 species
GGAAGAAGAGAAAAAUCAACCACGACGCAAAAAUCAAACAGAAGAAAAUCAAUAAAAUUGGUGUUCCGAUGAGUGAACAAGCUGCGCAAGCAGAGAUGAGAAUAGCAUAAUUAACGGAGAAGUACUUCAAGUUCCUGCGGACGCGAAUUGCAGCAUCGGAGAAGGAUGUCGGAAUGUCAACGGCGCUUGCGCCGGCGAUAAAUUCCGGCCAUGGUCGACUUCGGGAAAGGAAAGUGUAUAUAUUUUGAACGGACCGGUUGAUGACAUCACCGCCGGCGAUCGGGAUGGUGGUGUAGGUGGCCGUGGUGACGGAGGUCGGCG